CUGCUAUCUAUCGGAUCGUUUUAGAAACAUCAGUGGCCAACGAUCGUCAGGAUUGUUGAGCUGCAUUGGCGGGAUUUCGCCGUCUACGUUUCUCUUUCUUCGCGGACGAACACGCGCCAGGGGCUUAGCGCUUGUGCGAUGCAUCUGGCGUGAGCCGGCUGCGCGCCAUUGCGGCCCCUCGUGUUAGGGGCUUGUAGCUCAGUUGGUUAGAGCGCGCGCUUGAUAAGCGUGAGGUCGGAAGUUCAAGUCUUCCCAGGCCCACCAGCCUUCGCUGCUACGCAGCUUCGGCUCGGCGGGCCUUCCUUGAACGAAGGCUGCUGCGCCGUAGCGCAAGCGAAGGCGAGCGCGCAUGAAGCGCGCUUAAGACCCAUUCGUCUUCUGGUACGGGGCCAUAGCUCAGCUGGGAGAGCGCGUGCUUUGCAAGCAUGAGGUCGUCGGUUCGAUCCCGUCUGGCUCCACCAGAUGGAAUUGAAGAUCGACAGUGUGCCCUGCUAACAAAGCGCCUUUCAUAAUCGUCCGCGAAACAUCACUUCGCACGCGCUGUCCGGAUGGACAGCGACGUGCGUGAUAUCUGACAUCGUAAAGAGGAGAUCGAUCCGAGUUUGGGAUCUGCAAAGCAAUUUGCGGAAUCUCAUUCCUAAUCUCCAGAUCAUUUCGGCGCUUUCUCAUCGCAAGAUGAGGGAGUUGUGAAUGAUCUUUGUAGCGAAGCUUGACCGCCUCGCUAUCGGUUCGGUCUUACGAAGCAAGCUGGUCUUUCUAAUCAGUGUCCAGCCGCAUGCAGCAUUCAUCGAGGGUGCGCGCCUUUUGACUUCGGUUUUGAGGCAAGUGUGCGGACAACAUUCUGCCGAGUGUGUGGACAUUGAUAAUGAGAGCAAUCAAGUGCCUUAAGGGUGUUCGGUGGAUGCCUUGGCGCUGAGAGGCGAUGAAGGACGUGCUACGCUGCGAUAAGCUGGGAG
rnacentral:misc_RNA from 1 species